rnacentral:lncRNA from 1 species
UCACAAAGACGCGAGUGAUCGAUUUCUAUCGAUUUCCAAUAUUAAUCGAUUGAUUAGUAUCGAUUACGAUCGAUUACGUUCGAUUUCUAUUGAGUAUCAAAAUUAUCGAUUAGAUACGCCCUGCUGUAUAUAGCGGUCACCCUGUGUAUAACGGUCACUGAACAACUUCCCAAAAAUCGUCCCUUAUAUGUACUGUUAAGUUGACCUGCAUAUAGCGGUCACCUGUAUAAAACGGACGCGGUCACUCGUUAGACUUCCUAAAUCCACAAUUUCAUUAUCUUUUUCCUGUAUAUAACGGUCAGGAAACUGGGUUACGAUUAACGAAUAAUGCCAAGCUUUAUUCAUCCCCUCAUUAAAUAGCAGUCACCAAGGCUGGGGCCACACAAAAAUACAAAUGUUAGUACUAAACACAAUUACUAAUACAUGAACAUGACGAACUUUCUUUCGCACUGAGUAAAGUUAAUGACAUAGUACAUGAAAUCAAGCUUUGACAAUAACAACAACAACAACAACCAUUUAUUUGUACUCACAAUUUAUAAAUUAAUUACAAUAAACAUUAAAUUAGUAUAGAGUACUGCCUGCCCAAAAGCUCCGAAAUAUCAUAAAAUUAUAACAAUUUUUUUUCUUCUUGAAAUCCAUAUUGUUACUUUGAAAGCUUUUCCUACACGGAAACUUAGAUCCAAGUAUCUUGCACCUCCCUUAAAGUACACCAUGGACAUUUUGUGGCCUUUUUUAUCGUGUUUAUUGCAUUGCUGUUACUCGUUAUUGUCAAUAAAACAUUAAUUGAGUGACUAUUCUACAUAAAAAUGCUAUUUAUUGACUUCCAGAGAGGAAACGUGUGCAGCGGUCACCUGGCCAUUUCUCAGUGGUGACCAUUAUAUACAGGUUUGACUGUAUUCAAGGUUUUAGCCUAAAAGAUUAGGUUAUGCAAGACCUGCAUGCAUUAAUUUGUAUCAAAGUUACCUUGCUUUUGUAAGUAAGCUUCAUGAUGUUUCAAUUUUUUUUUCUUUCUGACACCAAACUCAGUUCUCCAAACGUUACUCCAUUUUUCUAUUUCCUUGUUUUCGACCAGUAGCUAAUGCGAGCCUUAUACAAUAUUUUAAUUGCUAUUAGAUUAUGGAAUAGGUACCAAAGCCCAAAAUCAAACCAUGUGUACUAAGUAAUUGAAAUUAGACCGAAUGGAGUACAAUUCAGGGAGUAAUCGCGCGAGUAAUUUAAAAAUAGGACAAGCGCGAAGCACAAGGCUGAUUGGAAUUACAAGCACGAUUACUCCCUGAAUUGUAGGACACUAAGUCCAGUUACUAAUUAAUUGUAUCUCUAACAAAUUUCGAAACUAACAAUGUCUUUUGACAACUUCUUUUGAGGGAAAACGUAUGUAGCGCGUUUCAUCAGUUUUGAAAACUGUACGAAACAUUGCAAAGAAAGCCAUUAAAGCGUACACAAUUGAUGUGUGAAUCACGUCGGUAUCCAAUUACAUCUGUCCAAUUAAAAAAAGUUCAAAUUGGAUACCUGUAAUUGGACACCCACCUGAUGAUGCGCUGAUUACCUGGCAAAUAGGCACGCGGAGAACCAAUCACGAUCAAGAAUUUUGUUAUAGAUACUGUAAGGGACUGCAUGUCAAUAUGUAAGUACUAAGAUACAUCUGAUAUCUGGCCAGUUAGUUAAUCAGACCCCAUCUAAAUGGACACAAUUAAUUAAACACAUUUUCGUUGUUAAUUGCAUAUAAUGAGAAUUAUACUAGGGCGGCAAAGUGGCCUGAAGUUAUAAUUCAAAUUAUAUGAGCAGAUGAAGUGAGAAAUAUAUGAGCUUCCCACCCUUCUUCCCUCCCUCUUAUGAGGUCUCUCUUUUGCCUGUCUAUUCCAUUGUGUCAAAAAGCCACCAAAGCAUCAUGGGACGACAAGAUCUAGGACCCAGCGCCUUGUGGGUAUACCCAGGCCUCUUUUAUUGUUUCUUUAGGAGGGUUCGCCCUUCUGUUGGCGUUAAAAAGUCAUUUGAAGCACUAACCGGGAAAUUCCUACAAUUUGUUGUGUCAUAUAUUUCAAACGGAGUCUGUGAAAUAUAAUAUGCCUGCUCAAAAGCGAGAUCAAUCAUUUAUACCAAAUGUAUUGAAAACUUUGAAAAUUAUUUCAUUACAGGAGCAUGGAAUAAGUGCAAAUGAUGUCAAAAAGCUACAAUAAGCUGGAUUUCACACCAUCGAGUCAGUAGCAUACACACCGAAAAAAGCCCUGCUUGCUAUCAAAGGAAUAAGGGAAGCUACGUGUAAAGCUGAAAAAGUGCUCAAUGAAGCUUCUAAACUGGUGCCUGUGGGGUUCACAACUGCCACGGAAUUCCACCAACAGAGAUCAGAGCAUGUAUAUAUCACUACAGGCUCAAAGGAGCUGGAUAAACUAAUGCAAGUCUAUGGAGGCCGCUGGUGCAAAAAUACUGUAUUUGCGUUCUGUGCAAAGUAGGGGGCUGCGAUACAUAAUCCAUUCGUUGGUGAUGGUGACAGCAAAGGCUACAGUGCUGUGUGUAAGGCCAAUCCUUAUGGUCCUGCUGAGUUUAUUCCAAAAGAAGAAUGUAUUGCUCACGUUACCAACCAGUUGGGUACAGGAUUGAGAGCAUUACUGAAAGAAUGCAAGGGUAAAACGUUAGCUGAUAACAAAGCCCUGACUAGAGUGGGAAGGUUAACCCGUGCAAGAGUGGAUACCUUGCAGAAUUUUUAUGGCUGAGCCUUGAGGGAUAACAAAAAUAAUGCAAAAGAAAUGGCAAAAGCAACAAGAGCUAUUUUAAAGCAUUAUAGCAGCACGGUAGAAAAUCCUUGUCAUGAAGACUGCCUUGCGGGUGGUGAUUCCUGGUGCAGCUAUCAACGUGAUGUUGCUAAUGGCACUGAUCUGCACAAGCCUGUGAAGAAUCCAUUCCCUGAGGCAAUUGUUGAAGUAGUACAACCUUUGUUUCAUCGGUUGGGUGAUGAAUCAUUCCUAGCUGGGUGUGAAAAUUGUUACACCCAAAAUACAAAUGAAUCACUGCACCAUGUAAUCUGGGGAAAGGCAUCAAAAGAUGUAUACAGCUCUCCCCAGGAAAUAAGCAUAGCAAUCAGCCUUGGAGUACUAGAGUUCAACCAAGGAUUCCACAGAACAUAUUCGGAGCUACUACCCAUUCUUGGCAUUGGAGUUGAACCCCAAAUAGUGGAAGCGUGGCAGCGAAUUGAUGAAGAGAGGCUCUAUCAAGCUGAUUAUCGCAAUUCCACAGAUAGUAAACUUAGAAGAAAAAAAAAGAGGAAAGAGAAAUUAAAGAAGCAGAAUGCUUUUGUUCACCAGGAAGGUGUCAUGUACAAAUCACGGCCUUUCAUGGGAGAAAAUCAGAAAAAGACAGAAAUGUGGCCAAAGGGAAAAAAAGAAAUACAUCAAACAGAAAGAAAUGAGUUCUGAACAACACUGGUACAACCUUUAAUAGUAUUUAUAACUGAAUGUAACUCACAGUGGUACAUUUUGCUACUUGAAAUUGCUUUGUGUGAAGGUUGUUCCCGUUCAAUUUGUUGACUGAAACUAGCAAGUUUGCUUGUUUAUGAAUAAAUUAUUCAUAAACAAUCAUUGUCGACUUCUCAUCAAGUAGUGCUGAAGUACUUUGGCAAAUUUGUUUGUAAAAAAGAAAAACUUGUGUAGCCAUCCUUACACAGGCUAUAGUACAUAAUAUCACAGUUCACUUUAUUGAUUUUUAUUUAUUCUUCAGUGUCAUUAGUUGCAAUGGAUACAAAUUUGUAUAUCAAAUGUUCUACUCAAUCUUAGGCAGCUCCAUUGCCUGGCAAAACUCUGCCAUUGUCACUUGAAUCAAUGUGUAAACUUUAGAUUUGUGUUGCAUUUAAGAUCCUUGAAUGAGAAGGGGCGGUAUUUUUAAAAUUCCAGUAGUUUGCUUGUGGUGCUGUGCAAAAUCCUCUUACUGUACAUGCACAGAAUACUUUCAAUAUUUUAUUGUAAGUUACUAAAACCCAUAUUUUAUUGAUCAGUAGUUCUUCCAUCAUAAUUAUUUGGUUUUAUUAUCCAACUGCAGCGAGUACUGUCUAAGUAACAGUACAAAUAUACCGCGAUAUUGUACAGAAGAAAACCUGUCUGGCGUAUUUGUACAAUAGAAACCCUGUUUGGCGUAUUUGUACAGUAGAAAACCUGUUUGCCGUUCAGGUCGGCGCGUGCACGCAAAGCUGUCACACUCUCCCUCUUUUAUUGAUAAAUUUGUUGACAGCUGUUGGAUAAUAAAUCUCUCGUUAGAUGUUUUGGUGUUUAGUAUAGCUGUAUAUUUUUACUCAUUGUUUGUAUUUUGACUCGCCCUACGGGCUCGUCAAAAUACGGCACAACUCGUGAAAUACAUACAGCGAUACUGCACACCAAAACACCUAAUAAGAUAUAUGUAUUCUGUCAUAUGUGUAGCAAAUGAAGUUGCCAUACUGGACAGUACAAGAGACUGAUAUUUCUCAAUGGCAAGCGCAGUAUUGUUUCUCGAAAUUGACUUCUGACAUCAAUAGAACAUUUAAAACAUUAAGUAAGUCUCUGUAGUCACCAUAUGCUAAAGAGGCAAAAUUUUCUCCCAAUAUGGUCUUAGCUUUCGAAAGCGACCACCUAAGCUUGACAUUUUGGGUGGUCGCUUACGGGAGGUUCGACUGUGUUCUGAACCCAGAACAAACGCGGAUGAUACCAGCCUGACACUUGCCAGGACUGACAUUGAGCAAAUAAUUAAAUUAUCGCCUUAAUCACGACCUGAGUAAUGGGUACGAAUGGCUGUCUGCUAACAAGCUUACCCUAAAUAUGACAAGAACUGAGUUUAUGCUUAUUGAAUCAAGGCAGAAGUUAUCACAAUUUAUGGAAAGUCCCUCUCCUACUAUAAACAAGAAUGCAGUAGAACAAGUAAGCUCCGCUAAAUUCCUUGGAGUUCAUGUCGAUCAAAAUAUAAACUGGGAGUGUCAUUGAAAAUAUCUCUAAGAAGAUAGCUUGUGCCAUUGGUGCAAUUAAACGAAUUCGGCAUCUCACUCCAUUUAAUGUUUUAAUUAAAGUUUAUAAUAGCCUUAUCCAACCAUAUUUUGAUUAUUGCAAUGUAGUGUGGGGAAACUGUAACAAGGGCCUUUCUGAAAAACUGCAAAGGCUUCAAAAUCGCGCAGCUCGCACCCUGAUGUCUGCAAGCUAUGAUAGUAAUUAGGGUGGCGAAGACUCUUCCAUCAAAGAUUGGAACGGAAGUCUAUCCUAACGUAUAAAACAUUAAAUAGUAUAACACCUGAUUAUCUGAGAUCAAGAUUCGUAUAUCGUGACAACGUAAAUGCUUAUCGUUUAAGGAAUACCGAAAACAAAUUAGUACUUCCACAAUCUCGAACUAAUUAUCUUAAGAGAUGUUUUUCGUAGAGCGGAGCUCACUUGUAGAACAACUUACCAAUAGACCUAAGACAAGCAUCUUCACUGACCGAUUUCAAAUCUAAAUUAACAGAUUAAGUCGCCACGGUUUAAAGUAAUGUCUUAAUUUUAAGUAAAUUUUUAGACGGCCUCCAUGGAAAGCAGGUUUUUUUCAAUUUUUAUUGUAGUUAGGAAGAUAGGUUGAUAGUCCAGUAACUUUGUUGACUGAUGAAAAAACCGUGUAUAAUUAAAGUUAUCGUAUCUUAUCUUAUCAUAUCUUAGCCAAUUUAUCAUAACUUGACCUUCAGUUAAGUUCAAUUAGCCUUUCUUUACCACGUUCCAUGGCGAGACCUGUAAAGCUUUGUGGUUGUUUUCCAUGGCCUGUAAAGGAGGCCGGGACAAACUAUGACAGUUGCAGCGAACAGGAAAUCGAUCUUUAA